rnacentral:rRNA from 1 species
UACGGAGGGAGCGAGCGUUGUUUCGGAAUUACUGGGCGUAAAAGCGUGCGCGAGGCGGAUUUCCAAGUCAGGAGUGAAAUCCCAGGCUCAACCCUGGAAUUGCUCUUGAAACUGGAUGUCUUGAGUCUCGGAGAGGUUGGCGGAAUUCCCAGUGUAGCAGUGAAAUGCGUAGAGUAUUGGGAGGAACACCAGUGGCGUAAGCGGCCAACUGGACGAGUACUGACGCUCAUGGCGACGAAAGUGUGGGGAUCAAACAGGG